UACGGAGGGUGCAAGCGUUAUCCGGAUUUACUGGGUUUAAAGGGUGCGCAGGCGGACUAUUAAGUCAGUGGUGAAAUCUUUCAGCUUAACUGGAAAACUGCCAUUGAUACUGAUAGUCUUGAAUAUAGUUGAUGUGGGCGGAAUUUGGCAUGUAGCGGUGAAAUGCUUAGAUAUGCCAAGGAACACCAAUUGCGAAGGCAGCUCACAAAGCUAUUAUUGACGCUCAGGCACGAAAGCGUGGGUAGCGAACAGG
rnacentral:rRNA from 1 species